rnacentral:rRNA from 1 species
GGUUAAGCGACUAAGCGUACACGGUGGAUGCCCUGGCAGUCAGAGGCGAUGAAGGACGUGCUAAUCUGCGAUAAGCGUCGGUGAGGUGAUAUGAACCGUUAUAACCGGCGAUUUCCGAAUGGGGAAACCCAGUGUGUUUCGACACACUAUCAUUAACUGAAUCCAUAGGUUAAUGAGGCGAACCGGGGGAACUGAAACAUCUAAGUACCCCGAGGAAAAGAAAUCAACCGAGAUUCCCCCAGUAGCGGCGAGCGAACGGGGAGGAGCCCAGAGCCUGAAUCAGUGUGUGUGUUAGUGGAAGCGUCUGGAAAGGCGCGCGAUACAGGGUGACAGCCCCGUACACAAAAAUGCACAUGCUGUGAGCUCGAUGAGUAGGGCGGGACACGUGGUAUCCUGUCUGAAUAUGGGGGGACCAUCCUCCAAGGCUAAAUACUCCUGACUGACCGAUAGUGAACCAGUACCGUGAGGGAAAGGCGAAAAGAACCCCGGCGAGGGGAGUGAAAAAGAACCUGAAACCGUGUACGUACAAGCAGUGGGAGCCUCUUAAUGGGGUGACUGCGUACCUUUUGUAUAAUGGGUCAGCGACUUAUAUUCUGUAGCAAGGUUAACCGAAUAGGGGAGCCGAAGGGAAACCGAGUCUUAACUGGGCGCUAAGUUGCAGGGUAUAGACCCGAAACCCGGUGAUCUAGCCAUGGGCAGGUUGAAGGUUGGGUAACACUAACUGGAGGACCGAACCGACUAAUGUUGAAAAAUUAGCGGAUGACUUGUGGCUGGGGGUGAAAGGCCAAUCAAACCGGGAGAUAGCUGGUUCUCCCCGAAAGCUAUUUAGGUAGCGCCUCGUGAAUUCAUCUCCGGGGGUAGAGCACUGUUUCGGCAAGGGGGUCAUCCCGACUUACCAACCCGAUGCAAACUGCGAAUACCGGAGAAUGUUAUCACGGGAGACACACGGCGGGUGCUAACGUCCGUCGUGAAGAGGGAAACAACCCAGACCGCCAGCUAAGGUCCCAAAGUCAUGGUUAAGUGGGAAACGAUGUGGGAAGGCCCAGACAGCCAGGAUGUUGGCUUAGAAGCAGCCAUCAUUUAAAGAAAGCGUAAUAGCUCACUGGUCGAGUCGGCCUGCGCGGAAGAUGUAACGGGGCUAAACCAUGCACCGAAGCUGCGGCAGCGACACUAUGUGUUGUUGGGUAGGGGAGCGUUCUGUAAGCCUGUGAAGGUGGCCUGUGAGGGUUGCUGGAGGUAUCAGAAGUGCGAAUGCUGACAUAAGUAACGAUAAAGCGGGUGAAAAGCCCGCUCGCCGGAAGACCAAGGGUUCCUGUCCAACGUUAAUCGGGGCAGGGUGAGUCGACCCCUAAGGCGAGGCCGAAAGGCGUAGUCGAUGGGAAACAGGUUAAUAUUCCUGUACUUGGUGUUACUGCGAAGGGGGGACGGAGAAGGCUAUGUUGGCCGGGCGACGGUUGUCCCGGUUUAAGCGUGUAGGCUGGUUUUCCAGGCAAAUCCGGAAAACCAAGGCUGAGGCGUGAUGACGAGGCACUACGGUGCUGAAGCGACAAAUGCCCUGCUUCCAGGAAAAGCCUCUAAGCAUCAGGUAACAUCAAAUCGUACCCCAAACCGACACAGGUGGUCAGGUAGAGAAUACCAAGGCGCUUGAGAGAACUCGGGUGAAGGAACUAGGCAAAAUGGUGCCGUAACUUCGGGAGAAGGCACGCUGAUAUGUAGGUGAAGCGACUUGCUCGUGGAGCUGAAAUCAGUCGAAGAUACCAGCUGGCUGCAACUGUUUAUUAAAAACACAGCACUGUGCAAACACGAAAGUGGACGUAUACGGUGUGACGCCUGCCCGGUGCCGGAAGGUUAAUUGAUGGGGUUAGCGGUAACGCGAAGCUCUUGAUCGAAGCCCCGGUAAACGGCGGCCGUAACUAUAACGGUCCUAAGGUAGCGAAAUUCCUUGUCGGGUAAGUUCCGACCUGCACGAAUGGCGUAAUGAUGGCCAGGCUGUCUCCACCCGAGACUCAGUGAAAUUGAACUCGCUGUGAAGAUGCAGUGUACCCGCGGCAAGACGGAAAGACCCCGUGAACCUUUACUAUAGCUUGACACUGAACAUUGAGCCUUGAUGUGUAGGAUAGGUGGGAGGCUUUGAAGUGUGGACGCCAGUCUGCAUGGAGCCGACCUUGAAAUACCACCCUUUAAUGUUUGAUGUUCUAACGUUGGCCCCUAAUCGGGGUUGCGGACAGUGUCUGGUGGGUAGUUUGACUGGGGCGGUCUCCUCCUAAAGAGUAACGGAGGAGCACGAAGGUUGGCUAAUCCUGGUCGGACAUCAGGAGGUUAGUGCAAUGGCAUAAGCCAGCUUGACUGCGAGCGUGACGGCGCGAGCAGGUGCGAAAGCAGGUCAUAGUGAUCCGGUGGUUCUGAAUGGAAGGGCCAUCGCUCAACGGAUAAAAGGUACUCCGGGGAUAACAGGCUGAUACCGCCCAAGAGUUCAUAUCGACGGCGGUGUUUGGCACCUCGAUGUCGGCUCAUCACAUCCUGGGGCUGAAGUAGGUCCCAAGGGUAUGGCUGUUCGCCAUUUAAAGUGGUACGCGAGCUGGGUUUAGAACGUCGUGAGACAGUUCGGUCCCUAUCUGCCGUGGGCGCUGGAGAACUGAGGGGGGCUGCUCCUAGUACGAGAGGACCGGAGUGGACGCAUCACUGGUGUUCGGGUUGUCAUGCCAAUGGCACUGCCCGGUAGCUAAAUGCGGAAGAGAUAAGUGCUGAAAGCAUCUAAGCACGAAACUUGCCCCGAGAUGAGUUCUCCCUGAGACUUAGAGUCUCCUGAAGGAACGUUGAAGACGACGACGUUGAUAGGCCGGGUGUGUAAGCGCAGCGAUGCGUUGAGCUAACCGGUACUAAUGAACCGUGAGGCUUAACCUU